GAAACAGUUCCUCAUCUUCGUCCUUCAGAUCUGCUGCUGCGCUGCGACGGCUGAUGACUCUGCUUUUAACUGGAGAUUCUGCUGAUGAUUAAAGAUGAACAUUGUUCUUCUGAUCGCUGUUCUUGUCCUGGUGGAUGGAGGGAACGCAGCCUACAAUACUUCUCCUUGUACAAAGAUGCGUAGAAGAGAUGCAUACGAUGACUUUCUUCGCAAACACGUUAUCCAGGAUCAUUUUGACUUUACCUCAGAUUAUGAAUGGGAGCUUUACCUGAGACAACACGAUCUCUGUGGAAGAUUCUUACAGUCCUUCGUUGAGCAAAGAGAUAAACAUCUUUAUGUGAAGAUCUGCAAUGGCUUUGGGAAGCGUCAAGGGAGCAGCAACUGGUGCACCAGCACCGACAGAGUUAGACUGUAUAAUCUCCAAGUCACUGGGGAUUGCACAGUUAGAGCUAGGCCAGAACAUAAAUAUGUGACUGUCACUUGUGACAAAGUCGACAACCGCUGCCUUCCUGUUCACUUUGAAAAGAUCCAAGACAAUGAGCCAGACGAUACAAAUGAAACUUGUCAGCCAAGAACUAAUCUCUGGUUUGAGAUCUAAAAACUUCUUCCAAGGUUAGAAAAAAUGUUGUUUUGCUUUGCCAUAUCCCUCCAUAUUAAGCUUUGGUUGAGCUUUUUGCUGGUUUUAGUUGAGCGUUUUUCUUAAUUUUGUAAGCAAAUCAGAGCUACCAUGGAAAAUGUACCAUUUGACUUUUAAAAUAUCAGCAUUGAGAAAUUUUGGUGAUGUAUUACAAAGAGUCAGAUAUUGUAAUGAGCCUUGGGUACUAAAAACAAUAACGCUUUGCAAAACCUCUGAGUUUUUUAGUCCUAAUGUUGAAUAGAGAAGUUGUUUUUUUAAUUGAUGUUUAAAUUAAAUUAGGAUAUUUGCAUGGGACAAUAGAAAUGUCACUAGGCUUAUCUACAUCUCUAUAUAACAGAUAAACGAAGCAUGGGCAAUAUUUUAUGUAAUUUUGCAUCCCUGAUAAAAAUAUAUGAAGUACAUCUUACAAUCAUGACAGUUUUACAUUUCACAUUUCACAGCGAAAAAACAAAACAUUUUCA